rnacentral:rRNA from 1 species
AUUGAACGCUGGCGGCAGGCUUAACACAUGCAAGUCGAGCGGGGGAAGGUAGCUUGCUACUGGACCUAGCGGCGGACGGGUGAGUAAUGCUUAGGAAUCUGCCUAUUAGUGGGGGACAACAUCUCGAAAGGGAUGCUAAUACCGCAUUCGUCCUACAGGAGAAAGCAGGGGAUCUUCGGACCUUGCGCUAAUAGAUGAGCCUAAGUCGGAUUAGCUAGUUGGUGGGGUAAAGGCCUACCAAGGCGACGAUCUGUAGCGGGUCUGAGAGGAUGAUCCGCCACACUGGGACUGAGACACGGCCCAGACUCCUACGGGAGGCAGCAGUGGGGAAUAUUGGACAAUGGGGGGAACCCUGAUCCAGCCAUGCCGCGUGUGUGAAGAAGGCCUUAUGGUUGUAAAGCACUUUAAGCGAGGAGGAGGCUACUCUAGUUAAUACCUAGGGAUAGUGGACGUUACUCGCAGAAUAAGCACCGGCUAACUCUGUGCCAGCCGCCGCGGUAA